rnacentral:rRNA from 1 species
AGAGUUUGAUCCUGGCUCAGGAUGAACGCUAGCUACAGGCCUAACACAUGCAAGUCGAGGGGCAGCAUGGUGCCAGCUUGCUGGCGCUGAUGGCGACCGGCGCACGGGUGAGUAACGCGUAUCCGACCUACCUUCCGCCCGGGGAUAGCCUUCCGAAAGGGAGAUUAAGACCCGAUGGUGUCAGGUGGCUUCAUGGCAUCCUGACUAAAGGCGACGGCGGGAGCUGGGGAUGCGUCCCAUUAGGCAGUUGGCGGGGUAACGGCCCACCAAACCGACGAUGGGUAGGGGUUCUGAGAGGAAGGCCCCCCACAUUGGAACUGAGACACGGUCCAAACUCCUACGGGAGGCAGCAGUGAGGGAUAUUGGUCAAUGGCCGGAAGGCUGAACCAGCCAAGUAGCGUGGAGGAUGACUGCCCUACGGGUUGUAAACUCCUUUUAUGCGGGAAUAAAGUCGGGCACGUGUGCCCGUUUGCAUGUACCGCAUGAAUAAGCAUCGGCUAACUCCGUGCCAGCAGCCGCGGUAAUACGGAGGAUGCAGGCGUUAUCCGGAUUUAUUGGGUUUAAAGGGAGCGCAGACGGGCCUUUAAGUCAGCUGUAAAAUCGCGCGGCUCAACCGCGUGCAGCAGUUGAAACUGGAGGCCUUGAGUGCGGUCGCGGCAGGCGGAACUCGUGGUGUAGCGGUGAAAUGCAUAGAUAUCACGAAGAACUCCGAUUGCGAAGGCAGCAUGCCGCAGCACCACUGACGCUGAUGCUCGAAGGUGCGGGUAUCGAACAGGAUUAGAUACCCUGGUAGUCCGCACGGUAAACGAUGGGCGCUCGCCGUGGGCGAUAUACAGUCCGCGGCUUAGCGAAAGCGUUAAGCGCCCCACCUGGGGAGUACGCCGGCAACGGUGAAACUCAAAGGA